UCGUGAAUAUUGCACCAUGGGGGAAACCCUGAUGCAGCGACGCCGCGUGAACGAAGAAGGUAUUCGUAUCGUAAAGUUCUGUCCUAUGGGAAGAUAAUGACAGUACCAUAGAAGAAAGCUCCGGCUAAAUACGUGCCAGCAGCCGCGGUAAUACGUAUGGAGCGAGCGUUGUCCGGAAUUAUUGGGCGUAAAGGGUACGCAGGCGGUUUAAUAAGUCGAAUGUUAAAGAUCGGGGCUCAACCCCGCAAAGCAUUGGAAACUGAUAAACUUGAGUAGUGGAGAGGAAAGUGGAAUUCCUAGUGUAGUGGUGAAAUACGUAGAUAUUAGGAGGAAUACCAGUAGCGAAGGCGACUUUCUGGACACAAACUGACGCUGAGGUACGAAAGCGUGGGGAGCAAACAGG
rnacentral:rRNA from 1 species